GCGAUUUCAAUUUCGAAGCUCCAGAGCGGUGUUUCUCUUUCUCUCUCCCUAGAUCUCUCUCUAUCAACCCUCUCAGAGUUUCAUCUCUGAGAUUCAGAGAUUCAGUCGGUCUCAGUGAUUUCAUCUCAGAGCGAUUUCGAUUUCGAUUUCAAAGCGCCAGAGCAGUCUCUCUCUCUCUAGAUCUCUCUCUCUGUCAACCCUCUCAGAGAUUUUUCUUUGAGAUUCAAAGAUUCAGAGAUCAGUCUCAGUGAUUUCAUCUCAAAGCGAUUUCGAUUUUGAAGUUCUCUCUCUUGAUUUCGAAGCUCCAGCGAGGUAUCGAUUUCUCUCUCUCUCAAGCUCUUCCUUCCCGUCUCUCUCGAUUUGGUAUUUAUUUUCUUGGAAAACCUAUUCAAUUUCUUCUUUUGUUUGCUUUGUCAUUCUUCCUUAAUAUGUUGUGUUUUUGUUUUGAGAAAAUGCCAAAUGUGCUUGUGAUUAUGACAUUUGUUGGAUUUGUUGGAUUUGAGAUCAUUUUUGGACUUAGUUGAUUAUUUAGUUUUCUCAGAUGGUGAUCACAAUGGCGGACGUUCUACUCAUUCUGCUCAUCUUGUUGAGGAAAAGUUGUCUGGCUCUUUCUCUAUGAAAUAAACAAGCUAGUGGAUAUUGCUCGAUCUGUAGCCAAUGUAAACACUAACGACUACAGUGCCUUGGAGUAUUUGCUUGACCUUCUAGAAAACCUAAAAAAAAAAAAGUAAUUUAGUUGCCAAUAACUUCACAAUAGAAAGUUCGAACAACAGUGUUCUGCCUUCAGGAUUGAGCUGUCUUCAAAGGAACUUUCCCUGCCAUCGUAGUGUUCCUGUCUGUAAGUGCCUUCAUGACCCUUCUUUUGUGUGUUUGUGUGUGUGCGCGCGCGCGCGUGAGAGAGAGAGAGAGAGAGAGAGAGAGAGAGAGAGAAUG